rnacentral:rRNA from 1 species
AGCGAACGCUGGCGGCAGGCCUAACACAUGCAAGUCGAACGAACUCUUCGGAGUUAGUGGCGGACGGGUGAGUAACACGUGGGAACGUGCCUUUUGGUUCGGAAUAACUCAGGGAAACUUGUGCUAAUACCGAAUGUGCCCUUCGGGGGAAAGAUUUAUCGCCAUUAGAGCGGCCCGCGUCUGAUUAGCUAGUUGGUGAGGUAACGGCUCACCAAGGCGACGAUCAGUAGCUGGUCUGAGAGGAUGACCAGCCACACUGGGACUGAGACACGGCCCAGACUCCUACGGGAGGCAGCAGUGGGGAAUCUUGCGCAAUGGGCGAAAGCCUGACGCAGCCAUGCCGCGUGAAUGAUGAAGGUCUUAGGAUUGUAAAAUUCUUUCACUGGGGACGAUAAUGACGGUACCCGGAGAAGAAGCCCCGGCUAACUUCGUG